rnacentral:rRNA from 1 species
GCGUUACGAUGUCGAUUUGGAGGUUGUGCCCUUGAGGCGUGGCUUCCGAAGCUAACGCGUUAAAUCGACCGCCUGGGGAGUACGGCCGCAAGGUUAAAACUCAAAUGAAUUGACGGGGGCCCGCACAAGCGGUGGAGCAUGUGGUUUAAUUCGAUGCAACGCGAAGAACCUUACCUACUCUUGACAUCCAGCGAAUCCUGUAGAGAUACGGGAGUGCCUUCGGGAACGCUGAGACAGGUGCUGCAUGGCUGUCGUCAGCUCGUGUUGUGAAAUGUUGGGUUAAGUCCCGCAACGAGCGCAACCCUUAUCCUUUGUUGCCAGCGGUUCGGCCGGGAACUCAAAGGAGACUGCCAGUGAUAAACUGGAGGAAGGUGGGGAUGACGUCAAGUCAUCAUGGCCCUUACGAGUAGGGCUACACACGUGCUACAAUGGCGUAUACAAAGAGAAGCGAACUCGCGAGAGCAAGCGGACCUCAUAAAGUACGUCGUAGUCCGGAUUGGAGUCUGCAACUCGACUCCAUGAAGUCGGAAUCGCUAGUAAUCGUGGAUCAGAAUGCCACGGUGAAUACGUUCCCGGGCCUUGUACACACCGCCCGUCACACCAUGGGAGUGGGUUGCAAAAGAAGUAGGUAGCUUAACCU